CAGGGCAAUGUGUAUGUCAAAUGCCCUUCGAUUGCUGCUGCCAUUGCAGCUGUAAAUGCAUUGCAUGGGAGGUGGUUUGCAGGUAAAAUGAUUACAGCAGCAUAUGUACCUCUUCCAACGUACCAUAGCCUCUUCCCAGACUCUAUGACUGCAACCCAACUACUGGUUCCUGUUCGACGAUGAAGAUGGAUUUAGUCAGUUUUGUACAUAGUUAUUUUUUGGAGGAAGAUUGAGUUAUCUUUUAUUUAGAUAAAACUUAAGGAAAGGAUUUAAUGUCAUUUUGUGUACACUUCCUGCUACCUUUAAAAAUAAAAUGAAGUAAGCAGAAAUGCAGUGUGUUCAUUCUCCCUGACUAGCAUUUCCACUGUAUACAAAGCUGUUGACUUCUUGUUCUGCCUUGUAAUUCUUGUACAUUUACUAAGGUGAUCUGUAGGAACUGAGAAGUAGCUCAUAGAAAACAAGUUCUCUGUAAAAGGCAGAUGGGACACAAUGACAUUUUUAAUGUUUCACAAGCCUUUCUUUUAACGCAGCAAUUACAUUUUACAUUUCACUAAAUGCAGGUGAUCUGCUGAAGGUUGAUAUCAGAGAGAGGCUUUAUGAAGGGACAAAUUUAGUGUUUUGUAUAAAUGGAAAACUCGAAACGCUACUGAAAGCUGACUCCAGCCAGCCACUAAGCUUGCUUUGUGCUGAAUAACUGGUAAGAAUAGAAGGAUUGAAGGGUUUUACUUCUUGAUGGUAACUUUUGAUUAAUGUAUCUGUAAAAGUUUCUUUGUAAAUACUGUGUGAGGUGUGUUUAAGUUUCCAAACAAAACGAUCUCUGCAUUUCCAGAUAAGUUUGUAUGUCUACAGUGUGGCACACUUGAAAGGUUUCAGACAAGUCUGAAAAUUGGUAGGAAAUACAGAAACAUGUUUUGUUCUGGUUGCAUAUAAUCUUUGCUCUUUUUAAGCUCUGUGAGCUCUGAAAUAUAUUUUUGGGUUACUUCAGUGUGUUUGACAAGACAGCUUGAUAUUUCUAUCAAAGACUUUCAUAUUGCAACAAUCUUUGUAAGAACCACUCAAAUAAAAUUCUCUUAAAAAGGCCUU